GCUCCCGCGUCCAUCCGGGGCGGCCGCGGGGAGCGCCGGCCGCUGCCCUGGGUCUGCGCUUCCACAGGGAUGGGGGAUGCUGGAGCGUGUCCGCCCGAGGGCGGCGAGCCUCCUGCAAGGGCUGGGGAACGAGUCUGAUGAGCAGCGGCUGAGGGAGCCGGGGGAGCUCCGGGAGACUCAGGGGGUCCUCAUCACUCCCUGUCAGAAGGGUGUAGUGAGGUGGGGCCGGUCUCUUCUGCCGUGUCUGUAGGGAGAGGACCAGAGGAAACGUCCUUAAACAGCGACAGCAAGAGAUUCAGAUUAGGUAUUAGAUAGAAGAAAUUCACUGUUCGGGUGAUCAGGUAUUGGAACAGUCUGCCCAGGGAGGUGGUGGAGUCACCGUCCCUGGAGGUGUUUAAGAGGUGUUUGGAUCUGGUGCUGAGUGAUGUGGUUUAGAAUCAUGAAAUUGUCAAGGUUGGAAGAGACCUUCAAGAUUAUCAAGUCCAGCCAUCCACUCAGCACUGCCACUGCAACCACUAACCUAUAUCAGCCAGUGCCAGAUCCAUAAACCUCUUUAAUACGCCUUUGGUUUAGUGGUUAUGGGGUUGAAUAUUUUGAAUAUUCUAUGAACAUCUGCCAAAGGGGCCGACAGAAUUGGCUGCCCCACGGGAGCCAUCAUGGCUCCCCGUGGGCCAGUGCUGAGGGGAGCUCAGCACCACUGGCCAGCUCCGAGCCGGAUGGGCAUGGGACAGCUCCGCAGAUACCUCAGGGAUGAGAAGACUGAGUCAUUGAAAUCAAAGUCUCUGGUUAUGUCAUGAACAAAGCAGCACGGCAAAAAAGCCCAGCCCACGUUUCUUGAUUCCUUGUUCUGUAUCCAUGUAUUUUUCCAUCUUCCUUUAAUCACCAACUAUCAGAAAAUAUCACCAAAAUGGUUUGUAUUGAUUCUCAACAGCAUGAAGUAUAGUAGAUGUGGUGUGAAAAGAUGGUCAAACUACCUGAAAGAAUGUAAUUUUUAUGUUUUGCAAGCCCCAAAAGUAAUGUGUAGUUAUGGGGCUGUACUUUCCAUAUCUGUAAUAAUAAAAUAUUCAUUAACGUUUU